AAACAAUUCUCAAAUUUCUUAGAGAAUCUGUCAUUAUUUCUCAAAUGUCUCAUCUUUAGGGGGAGUUUGGAGACUGGACACAGGAUGAACACUUGAGGAGCACAUGAAGUGAGUCAUCUGGACUUGGAUGUUGACCUUCUUGAGUCACUUUGCCUCAGGGGUGCUCUUAUUGGGCUCCCCUGCAACCCCUUUUAUUCUCCUGUGAUUGGACCUUCCCUCUUUUGGAAAUCCAGUUAUCUUGCUGGCAAAGGUUGCAAGCCUGCAUAAAUGCAUUAGGAGAGAGGUCUCUCUCCUUCUGGCCACAUCACAUCGUCAAAGCACACUGAUUUGUGGGAAAGAUGGCCAGAGUUAGAAUCUUUGGGAGACCUGGGUAGAACUUUCAGUGUGGCCUGGCCUGUGAUUACUCCUGAUACUGAACAGGCUGUGUUCAGCCUCACUGAUUUCCCAUCUUCAGAAUGUGAUCAGGAUACUGCUACUCAAAAAAAUAAAAAUAAAAUGGGAUACUGCUCCUCAUUUGUUGUUAGUACUUUAGAGAAAG
rnacentral:lncRNA from 1 species